UCCUAUCCUAUUAAUAACAUCUAGGUUUAAGCAUUUAUUGGCUCCAACGAGUUAUUAUUACUAGCAGGUCGGAUCAUUACAUUUGGUAUCAGAGCCGGUUGUUCAAGUGGAAGUGUGAGAUUAGUUUCGACUGACCAAAGAGUCUAGGAAUUAAUGAUAGGCUAUGUCUGGAUCUGGAUGACGAGACUAGCGAGACAAAUUUCAUAUUUUCUGGUGAUUUUGAGUUCUGUGUGUGAUUGGACUAAUGAAAACAUUAGGGCCUAAACGGAGAGAGCCUGUGAUAUUCUAAUAUUCCCACAUCGGAUGAAAAUUAUAUUAUGAUUGGAUAUAUACAUUUUGGGCCAGUGGUUUAGAAAUUAUGAAUUAUUAUUGCGAGUGGGUCAGGUCGUUACAUAUCACCACUAAUUAUAAUUUAAAAUAGAGUUGAGCUCAUGUGCAUUUAAAAGCACAUGAGCAUUUGUGCUUGUGACUUUUAGCUGUCGAAUAGCCUCAAAAUUCGUGCAGUACUAUUAGCAAUGUCUCCUAUUAAAUUUUUUUCCAUUAAAUCUCUGUUACUAGCGCUGCACGAAUCUUGAGACAAUUCAACGACCAAAAAUUACAAGUACGUUGAGCUCAUGUGCUUUUAAAAGCACAGAAACUCAACUCCUAAAAACAAUCAAGACCACCCCCUUAACAUUUUGCCAUUUU
rnacentral:lncRNA from 1 species